AUUGAACGCUGGCGGCGUGCUUUACACAUGCAAGUCGAACGGCAACGCGGGCUUUUGCCUGGCGGCGAGAGUCGCACGGGUGAGUGAUACAACUGAAUGAGCUGCGUUGUGGGGUGUAGCCAGGUGAAAGCCGUAUUAAUAACGCCUACUACCAGCGGGUGCAAGCGGGGGAUCAUCGGAUCUCGUGCUCUUGGAGCGUCCGAUGGGCGAUUAGCUAGUUGGUGGGGUAAAGGGCGACCAAGGGGACCAUCGGUAGCUGGUCUGAGAGGACGACAAGCCACACUAGAACUGAGACACGGCCCAGACUCCUACGGGAGGCAGCAGUGGGGAAUGUUGGACAAUGGGCGAAAGGCUGAUCCAGCAAUGGCGCGUGUGUGACGAAGGCCUUAGGGGUGUAAAGCACUUUUUGAGGAAAAGAAAAGGACUGGGCGAAUACAACGCUUGUAUGACGGUAGCCGCAAAAGAAGCGCCGGCUAACUACGUG
rnacentral:rRNA from 1 species